UUAUUAGAGGAUUUGAUCCUGGUCCAGGAUGAACGCUGGCGGCGUGGAUAAGGCAUGCAAGUCGAGCGGUCGUUUGUGCUUCACUAUGUUCAGCACAAACUCCCCAAAUUCAAAAUGCAAAUCUCAAAAUGCAAAAUAAUGGUUUCGCCAAAGGUGAAUCAACAAUUUUGAUUUUUGAACUUUAAUUUUUUACUUUGAGCGAGUGGUGAGCGUAGCGAAGCACGAACGAUAGCGGCGAACGAGUUAGUAACACCUUGGUACCUACCCCAGAGCCGGGCAUAGCCAGCCGAAAGGUUGGGUAAUUCCCGAUGGUCUCGCAAGAGUAAAGACGCAAGUCACUCUGGGAUGGACCUAGGUCUGAUCAGCUUGUUGGUAGGGUAACGGCCUACCAAGGCUAUGACCAGUAGGGGGGGUGAGAGCCCGAUCCCCAACGAGGAAACUGAGACACGGUUCCUACUCCUACGGGAGGCAGCAGUCAAGAACAUUCGACAAUGGGCGAAAGCCUGAUCGAGCGACGCCGCGUGCAGGAUGAAGCAUCUCGGUGUGUAAACUGCUUUUCCACCGGAGAAAGUCGCAAGACUGAUAGUACGGUGGGAAUAAGUGGCUGCAAACUUCGUGCCAGCAGCCGCGGUAAUACGAAGGCCACAAGCGUUAUCCGGAUUUAUUGGGCGUAAAGGGCGCGUAGGGGGCUUGGUAAGUCUGUGGUUAAAUUUCGGGGCUUAACUCCGGAGCUGCCUCGGAAACUACCAGGCUAGAGGACGUUAGAGGUAGAUGGAACGCACGGUGUAGGGGUGAAAUCCGUUGAUAUCGUGCGGAACACCAAAGGCGAAGGCAUUCUACUGGGACGUUGUCAGCCGCCUGGGAAGUACGAGCGCAAGCUUAAAACUCAAAGGAAUAGACGGGGACUCGCACAAGCGGUGGGGCAUGUGGUUUAAUUCGAUGGUGCACGAAAAACCUUACCAGGGCUUGAAAUGCAUUUGACCGCUCUCUGAAAGGAGAGCCUUCGCCGUAAGGUGACAAAUGCACAGGUGCUGCAUGGUUGCCGUCAGCUCGUGUCGUGAGACGUUCCCUUAAGUGGGGUAACGAGCGCAACCCUUAUUCUCUGUUAUAAGUGUCAGAGGAGACUGCCGUCGUAUAGACGGAGGAAGGUGAGGAUGACGUCAAAUCAGCAUGGCCCUUUGAUGCCCUGGGCUACACACAUGCCACAAUGGUUCGUACAAUGGGUUGCCAAGCCGUAAGGCGGAGCUAAUCCCAUCAAAACGGGCCCCAGUUCAGAUUGGGGGCUGCAACUUGCCCCCAUGAAGUCGGAAUCGCUAGUAAUCGCGGAUCAGCAUGCCGCGGUGAAUACGUUCUCGAGUCCUGUACUCACAAGAACCGCGACCGGCAGCUUUAUUUGCCAGAUGGUUGAAAUCCAUCCAUU
rfam:Parcubacteria (Jorgensenbacteria) bacterium GW2011_GWA2_45_13 TW92_C0005, whole genome shotgun sequence.